GCGUGCCUAAUACAUGCAAGUCGAGCGGACAGAUGGGAGCUUGCUCCCUGAUGUUAGCGGCGGACGGGUGAGUAACACGUGGGUAACCUGCCUGUAAGACUGGGAUAACUCCGGGAAACCGGGGCUAAUACCGGAUGCUUGUUUGAACCGCAUGGUUCAAACAUAAAAGGUGGCUUCGGCUACCACUUACAGAUGGACCCGCGGCGCAUUAGCUAGUUGGUGAGGUAACGGCUCACCAAGGCAACGAUGCGUAGCCGACCUGAGAGGGUGAUCGGCCACACUGGGACUGAGACACGGCCCAGACUCCUACGGGAGGCAGCAGUAGGGAAUCUUCCGCAAUGGACGAAAGUCUGACGGAGCAACGCCGCGUGAGUGAUGAAGGUUUUCGGAUCGUAAAGCUCUGUUGUUAGGGAAGAACAAGUACCGUUCGAAUAGGGCGGUACCUUGACGGUACCUAACCAGAAAGCCACGGCUAACUACGUGCCAGCAGCCGCGGUAAUACGUAGGUGGCAAGCGUUGUCCGGAAUUAUUGGGCGUAAAGGGCUCGCAGGCGGUUUCUUAAGUCUGAUGUGAAAGCCCCCGGCUCAACCGGGGAGGGUCAUUGGAAACUGGGGAACUUGAGUGCAGAAGAGGAGAGUGGAAUUCCACGUGUAGCGGUGAAAUGCGUAGAGAUGUGGAGGAACACCAGUGGCGAAGGCGACUCUCUGGUCUGUAACUGACGCUGAGGAGCGAAAGCGUGGGGAGCGAACAGGAUUAGAUACCCUGGUAGUCCACGCCGUAAACGAUGAGUGCUAAGUGUUANGGGGUUUCCGCCCCUUAGUGCUGCAGCUAACGCAUUAAGCACUCCGCCUGGGGAGUACGGUCGCAAGACUGAAACUCAAAGGAAUUUGACGGGGGCCCGCACAAGCGGUGGAGCAUGUGGUUUAAUUUCGAAGCACGCGA
rnacentral:rRNA from 1 species